AAGACUAUAGACCUGCGGAGUACCUGCGGAAGGAUCAUUAACAAGUCCAUGUGCCUUGCAUGCAUGCAUUUGUGUGCAUGUGAGGGACACUUGCUCCGUGUGCAUUCCAUGUGCACAUUGAACACAUUUCUGCAAAUUGUCUGAUUAUAUUUGUUGAUUAACUACUAAACAACUUUCAACAAUGGAUCUCU
rnacentral:misc_RNA from 1 species